AUGUCUCGUGAUCCAGUUGAUUUAAGUCCAGGUCAGCUACAUAAGCUAGCUGAGUUGAUCCACCGACAAGAAGUGCAGAAGCUUCAAGAGCUUAAGUUCGAGUCAUAUGCGGAGCAGCAAAAGUAUCUCAAAGAUGCGAAAGAUGCCCGUGAUAAGGUGUACCAUGUCCUUGAAAGUGCACAGGACAUGAUAGCGCAAACCAAGGAUCCUGCCAAGCAACAAAUUGCCAAGGAUGUCAAUGACUACUGCACCAAGACUAUUGGCACAUCCCUCCAAUUCAUCCGUAGUUACAACACACGUCUCACCUACCUUGACAAGCUCAAGACCCACAGUGAUGAUCUCAUCAACCAGCUAAAGUGGCUCAAUCCAGCCACCCAGCAGAAGGAAGCUCAGCGCCUUGCUCUUGAGGCCGGCAUGUAUAAGAAAGCUGCGCUUGACAAUGCCAAAAAGUUUCAGCAUUUUGUACCAAAUCAAUUCUCAAAAUGGCUCAAGGAAAGCAAAAUCUUGUUUGAAGAUCUUGUGCAAGAUAAUAUGGCAAAGCUUGGUUUUAGGGGGGCUUUCAAAAACUUGGGUGAUAUACAAAAGCUACAGGUAUAUGACAAUAUUAUUGCACAAGCCGGACAAGGAAAACCCGUGGUGACUUACACAUUUGAAGCUUUGGGAAAAUUCGGGGUUGCAGUUUUGGUUUUUACAGCAGGUGUAAUGGUGUGGGACAUAUUCACUGCAGAGGAUAAGCUGGAGGCAGUGGUUAGGAAUUCAGUGACUGCUUUAACUGCAGCAGUUGGCCUUGUGGUGGGAGACCUAGCUGCUGCUGCUGUAGAAGCUGGAUUCAUAGCGCUUAACAUCCAAAUCGCUUCUGCAGCUGUCACGGUAGUCGGAGCAGUCGUCGGGUUCGGAAUUGGUGUGGUCAUUGGGAUUGCUGCAGGUGCACUGCUUGACUUGAUUUUCAGCAGUGGAACGAGCCAGGUGAAGAUAACAGACGGGCUUACUGUUUGCCGUGUGGCACCUAUGCCCGAUGGUCUUCCACUUGCUCGUCUGGUGAAGCACAAUUACCCAGAACUGUGA
rnacentral:rRNA from 1 species